CAUCUGGAAAGAUGAAUCAAAGAAGGUAAUAAUCCUGUAGUCGAAAAUGUUGUCUCUCUUGAGUGGAUCCUGAGUACGACGGAGCACGUGAAAUUCCGUCGGAAUCUGGGAGGACCAUCUCCUAAGGCUAAAUACUCUCUAGUGACCGAUAGUGAACCAGUACCGUGAGGGAAAGGUGAAAAGCACCCCGGAAGGGGAGUGAAAUAGAACCUGAAACCGUGUGCUUACAAGUAGUCAGAGCCCGUUAAUGGGUGAUGGCGUGCCUUUUGUAGAAUGAACCGGCGAGUUACGAUUUGAUGCAAGGUUAAGCAGUAAAUGUGGAGCCGUAGCGAAAGCGAGUCUGAAUAGGGCGUUUAGUAUUUGGUCGUAGACCCGAAACCAGGUGAUCUACCCUUGGUCAGGUUGAAGUUCAGGUAACACUGAAUGGAGGACCGAACCGACUUACGUUGAAAAGUGAGCGGAUGAACUGAGGGUAGCGGAGAAAUUCCAAUCGAACCUGGAGAUAGCUGGUUCUCUCCGAAAUAGCUUUAGGGCUAGCCUCAAGUGAUGAUUAUUGGAGGUAGAGCACUGUUUGGACGAGGGGCCCCUCUCGGGUUACCGAAUUCAGACAAACUCCGAAUGCCAAUUAAUUUAACUUGGGAGUCAGAACAUGGGUGAUAAGGUCCGUGUUCGAAAGGGAAACAGCCCAGACCACCAGCUAAGGUCCCAAAAUAUAUGUUAAGUGGAAAAGGAUGUGGCGUUGCCCAGACAACUAGGAUGUUGGCUUAGAAGCAGCCAUCAUUUAAAGAGUGCGUAAUAGCUCACUAGUCGAGUGACACUGCGCCGAAAAUGUACCGGGGCUAAACAUAUUACCGAAGCUGUGGAUUGUCCUUUGGACAAUGGUAGGAGAGCGUUCUAAGGGCGUUGAAGCAUGAUCGUAAGGACAUGUGGAGCGCUUAGAAGUGAGAAUGCCGGUGUGAGUAGCGAAAGACGGGUGAGAAUCCCGUCCACCGAUUGACUAAGGUUUCCAGAGGAAGGCUCGUCCGCUCUGGGUUAGUCGGGUCCUAAGCUGAGGCCGACAGGCGUAGGCGAUGGAUAACAGGUUGAUAUUCCUGUACCACCUAUAAUCGUUUUAAUCGAUGGGGGGACGCAGUAGGAUAGGCGAAGCGUGCGAUUGGAUUGCACGUCUAAGCAGUAAGGCUGAGUAUUAGGCAAAUCCGGUACUCGUUAAGGCUGAGCUGUGAUGGGGAGAAGACAUUGUGUCUUCGAGUCGUUGAUUUCACACUGCCGAGAAAAGCCUCUAGAUAGAAAAUAGGUGCCCGUACCGCAAACCGACACAGGUAGUCAAGAUGAGAAUUCUAAGGUGAGCGAGCGAACUCUCGUUAAGGAACUCGGCAAAAUGACCCCGUAACUUCGGGAGAAGGGGUGCUCUUUAGGGUUAACGCCCAGAAGAGCCGCAGUGAAUAGGCCCAAGCGACUGUUUAUCAAAAACACAGGUCUCUGCUAAACCGUAAGGUGAUGUAUAGGGGCUGACGCCUGCCCGGUGCUGGAAGGUUAAGAGGAGUGGUUAGCUUCUGCGAAGCUACGAAUCGAAGCCCCAGUAAACGGCGGCCGUAACUAUAACGGUCCUAAGGUAGCGAAAUUCCUUGUCGGGUAAGUUCCGACCCGCACGAAAGGCGUAACGAUUUGGGCACUGUCUCAACGAGAGACUCGGUGAAAUCAUAGUACCUGUGAAGAUGCAGGUUACCCGCGACAGGACGGAAAGACCCCGUGGAGCUUUACUGUAGCCUGAUAUUGAAAUUCGGCACAGCUUGUACAGGAUAGGUAGGAGCCUUUGAAACGUGAGCGCUAGCUUACGUGGAGGCGCUGGUGGGAUACUACCCUAGCUGUGUUGGCUUUCUAACCCGCACCACUUAUCGUGGUGGGAGACAGUGUCAGGCGGGCAGUUUGACUGGGGCGGUCGCCUCCUAAAAGGUAACGGAGGCGCUCAAAGGUUCCCUCAGAAUGGUUGGAAAUCAUUCAUAGAGUGUAAAGGCAUAAGGGAGCUUGACUGCGAGACCUACAAGUCGAGCAGGGUCGAAAGACGGACUUAGUGAUCCGGUGGUUCCGCAUGGAAGGGCCAUCGCUCAACGGAUAAAAGCUACCCCGGGGAUAACAGGCUUAUCUCCCCCAAGAGUUCACAUCGACGGGGAGGUUUGGCACCUCGAU
rnacentral:rRNA from 1 species